UUACAUUUGUUCCAUAGACAUGAUUUCCAAGUCUUGUGAGAAGAAUCUCAUUUUAGAUAUCACAAUCUGAAAUGCCAAAUACCAUCAAUACAAAGAUCUAGUCACCAGAGAAUUUAUCCCACUCCAGAAUUUCUGUUGAUUUUGGUAGGUGAUUUUUAAUGACUACUCAGUUUUAAAUAUGAUAGUUUUAACCUUAAAGUAGAAGAUUUAGUAAUUGCAACAAGUACCAACUUCCAAUUUCAUCUCAUUGUCUAGGAUGGAGAUUUAGUAUCAGAAUCUAUUUGCAGCAUGCAGUUACGAUACUUUUUGAUUGCAAGUUUUGUCUCCUACCAUAAUAUUGAAGCUGCUCCUAUGAGUAGAAUGGAUAAAUUGGACAGGGUUUUCAACAAGGAUGAAGUGGUUAGUGGUGGGCAAGACAAAUAAUGACAAAAUGUUAUCAUAGCUCAGUAUGCUCUCAAGCUCCUCUUGAUGCUGUCAUGUAAAAUCAAGUAAUAUCUGGACAUUAAUUAAUGAAUAUUUUCAGGAAUUGGUAAUUUUUUGCUUUGAAUUUUUUAGUUUUUAAAAUUCUUUCUUGACUUUGAGUAUUUAUUUCUUAGCAUCCUUCACCCUCCUUUUCCUCCCCUUCUUCUUCUCACUAAACUAUCAUGGAAAGAAUUCUUUAUGUUACCAAUGCUUUCUGAUGAGAGAAUACUAGUCCUUGUUGAGGGUCAGAGACAGACUAAUAAUCUCCUCUAAAUAAUUUAAAGAUAGGUAUAUUCUGCUGAUCAUUAAUGUACACUUUGUAGCUUAUACUGUUUGGGGUGAUGAAGCAUAUAAAAAUCAAUAUAUACAAGCAGUUAAUUACUA
rnacentral:lncRNA from 1 species